CACGGGCACACUUCCCCGGAAACCAAACUCAAGGUUCCGUUUCUUGACUGUGCGGAGUCUCCACGGGCUUUAAGAAGAGCCUACCUUCUGAGAUGCUUAUCUGCAUGCGGAGGUAAAAAGAAAGAAAGAAAGAAGAUCAGAGCACCUCAGCAGGGAGGGCAUCACCCACUUGAAAGGCAGAGGCCCUACAGGUGCCUACAAGGCCCAGCCUUCCCGACUACCUGCCAAACUUCUGCUCACCAGGGUGAUGUCCCGGGAGGCGGCAGCUGCACUCAUGUGCAAACUUGGCUGCCGAAUGGAGCUGCUGCAAUCUAGGGCUCUUGCGAAGGUCCCCACAGCUCUAAGGGAGAGAUCGAGAAGUCAGAAGGGAAGGAAGACAGUUCAAGAGGGCUGAAGAACUGUGCCAGAUGAAAAAGAUGGAAAACACCUAAACCAAAGCAAAGAUAACAACAACAUCCAUCUCUAAGAGUGGGACUUAGGGCUGUGUCCACACCUCCCCCAGCCCAUCAUCCCCAUCCACCCACCCCUCACCGGGCCACCACGAGAAACUGAUCAAUCUGCCGGUCUGUGAGAGGGUUGUCUGGGUCCCAGACCUUCAUCUCCAUCUUCUGUUGGUUCCGAUUAUCAGAUUCCCCUGGGGAAUGAGGCAAGGGCAUCAUCAGGGAGAGGGAUGGGGACCUUCUGUGAGUUUUAUCACUCACAAUAAUACCUCCUAGCUCUUCCUCCCCUGCUUGGAUUCCAUUAGCCACCUCAACUCUCAGACUUCUCUUCCCAACUGUGCUCCUUUUCCCCUUUCAGGUUCCCAAGGCCCCAUUCUAUCUGGGUCACAGCAUGGAGUCAUGCAAACUGUACUGCACAACUCCAAGGGAGCCCACCCUCACAGACUGUGAUGGGAAGGUGCCCCUCAGAGUUACGUAGCUCAGUAACCAGGCACUCUUUUCUGCUGCUUACCCUCUGCCAGGCGAUCUGGGAUCUCAGCUUGGUAUUUGCAACCAACUCUGAUCUCCCCCUGAUCAGCUAAAAGUGUCUUCUGCACGGGGUCAAACACCAAUGAGUAAAAAAAGCAGUCCUGGAGAUGAGGAGAGAGAAGGUACUGGCUCAAGAUAUCUGUCUCAUUCAAGAGGGUCACACUGCAUUUCCCCCUGCAGAAGAGAGGUCAGAAAACCCCAGAUUUCAGGAGACACUUUGCUCCAAAUCAUCACAAGGAACAUAGCUAUCCUUCAUUUUCUACUUGGCUAAUAAUAGUUCGUGGGGCUUUCAAGGACAGCACCUCUUACACCAGUGCCAACAGCGUCCUCUCCGCGGAGCUGCAGCCGGCCCUGAAACCUUGGUGGAAGGGUUAACCUGGCCGGGAGCCAGCCGAGGCGGGAGGGGGCAGGAGAGUCUCAGGCCCCGGCUCAUUGGUGCAUUGUUCCCAACCUCGGGGAGAAGGGAGGUGCGGCAGGCUCCGCCCCUCGCCUGUGUGCUCCGGAAACCCGGUGCUCAGGCAAGGGGGACCACACCCCCCACGCCCCUUCUGAUUGGACAAGGCCAAGGUCAGCCCCUGCUACAUGGGGCUGGAAACCCCAAAGGGACCAGGGAACUUGAUGAGCCCAGCUCCUCGUUAACCCCUUCAUGCCCAGAGCAGCCUGAAAAAGGAAAAUAAUUUAGGAAAGAGGAACAAGAGGAAGGAGCAAGAAAACCAACAAGGAGUGGGGAAAGAAGAAGCUAAGGAAAACUGAAGGAGAUAUCUUUUUUAAAAAGAUGAAAGCUUAUACAGAAGGAAGAUAAGGGAAAAGGGAAAAAAGUAAAAGCGUAGGACGGAGGGGUUAAGGGGAAAGGAAAGAGGAAAAGUGCAAGAAAACUUCCUGCCAUGUUUCUUCCUCUUAGCUUCCUAUUCUCUCCCUCCAGUGUAUUCUCCCCACCUUGUAACCACCAAAUAAGCCUGCUUCUCUGUUCUGCAGUCUUGUAAAUAAAAUCUCUUCCUCUUCACAGUCACCACCCAUUGUCCCAAGUACCAAAACCAUCACCCCAAGGGUUCUGGUUCUCUAAAACUCUUCCUCAUCCCCUAUUAUUUAAAUGUUAUCAUCUCUCUCUUUCUCAGACACAUGCAGAGGGAGAGAGAGAGAGAGAGAGAGAGAGAGAGAGACACACACACACACACACAUGCAAGCACACACGCGCCAUAUUCUGACUUUCCUUAUCAUGGUCUCUCCACCCUGCUUCCUCCCAACGUGUAAAAACAGGCCUCCCUCCACAGACCAGGCUUUUUGCCACCCCCAACUCACACCCUGCCUUGGGCACGAUACCAGGGCAAACACCCGCAGGGACAUGCCCAGGCCUCAGACUAUGGGGAGGGGGAGAAAGGUGGGAGGUAGGGGUGAAGACACUUACUGGCAUUACUAUCAGCCAGGCUGUUGAGGCUACUAGAAAUGUCCCUUCGCCGGAAAAGACAGACAACCUUUGCCUCCACGUUUCCAUUUGCAGUCUAAGGGAGGAAAAAAUGUCAGUGAAGACAUUUGAGAGCAAAAAUGCACAAAGAUGAGACUAACGACAGUGAAUAAGAUUCUAAGUGAUCCUAAGAAGAAAGCCUUGAGAAAUUAUGAAUAAAGAGGCUUUCAUUCAA